rnacentral:rRNA from 1 species
UACGUAGGGUGCGAGCGUUGUCCGGAUUUAUUGGGCGUAAAGAGCUCGUAGGCGGUUUGUCGCGUCGGCCGUGAAAUCUCCACGCUUAACGUGGAGCGUGCGGUCGAUACGGGCAGACUUGAGUUCGGUAGGGGAGACUGGAAUUCCUGGUGUAGCGGUGAAAUGCGCAGAUAUCAGGAGGAACACCGGUGGCGAAGGCGGGGUCUCUGGGGCCGAUACUGACGCUGAGGAGCGAAAGCGUGGGGGAGCAAACAGG